rnacentral:rRNA from 1 species
GACGAACGCUGGCGGCGUGCUUAACACAUGCAAGUCGAACGGAAAGGCCCUGCUUUCGUGGGGUGCUCGAAUGGCGAUCGGGAGCGUAACACGAGAGUAACCUGCCCUUGCCUUCGGGAUAACUUCAGGAAACUGGGGCUACUACCGGUUAGGAGCUCCUGCUGCAAGGUGGGGGUCGGAAAGUUUCGGCGGUUGGGGCUGGACGCGCGGCAUAGCAGCUUGUUGGUGGGGUAGUGGCUUACCAAGGAUUUGACGGGUAGCCGGACUGAGGCGGUGACCGGCCACAUUGGGACUGGGGUGCGGGCCAGACUCCAUCGGGCGGCAGCAGUGAGGGAUUGUGCACGAUGGGCGGAAGGCGGAAGCAGCAACUCCGCGUGCGGGAUGACGGCGUUCGGGGUGGAAACCGCAUUCGGCUGUGACGAAGCGGGAGUGACGGUAAUGGGUAAAGAAGCACCGGCUAACUACGUG